CAGGAGAGGAUGAAGCAGGAGCCCAGGGAGAGAGAAUCACUGCUGUGAGAUCCUUGUAAAGAAGAUACAUGGGAGAACUGAGUGGAUCUGUGCAAGAUAUGGAUAGUGUGAUAAGGCAGCAAACAGAAGUGGAUGUACAGUUUACAGUUUCACCACCGUUGACUUCUACACUUCUGCUUUAGAGAUCAAAACACUAAACCAAGUGGAAGACAAAGCAUAAUUUGCAAGGCAGUGGAGGAGAACUGCGACCUGCAUCUGCUGAAUGUACCACACAGAUAUGGACACCUGCCCCAUCUCAGUGUUGCACUUUCCUUCCCCUGUAAAAGGAACAUUUCCCAUUUCCACAUGGACUUGCAGAAAGUGUAAGAUUGGCAGCGAGGAAGAGUGUUCCAAGAAAGAUUGAAAAAGUAGGAAGAGAGAUUUGCUUAAAAAAAGAGAACAGAAAAUGCCCCCCUUUGGGUGGAAACUCUGGAUUUUGAUGUGGAAUGAGUGAACAGCCAUAUGGGGGAAAAGUAUUUCCCACUAUGAUGGGAUGGCCUCCAAGCUGGAUAAGUAGUUGCCAUCAUAGGGAGGCAGGUAUUUCAAAUUUGAGGGUUUUUUUUGGUGUAUUUGUAGAUAUACUGGUCAAAAAGCCAAUGGCACCUUAGAAGCUCUGUGUUUUGAAGACAUCCUUUCAAUACAAAGUAGAAAAGGAGAUGCUGGUGGUGUCCAUACACAGCCCAGAUUGUGUGAAUAGAGGGUUUUCUCAUGCUUGUGUUCUUUAAUUCAACGGGCUCUCUGCAGUGAGGAAAGCAGACCCAACAGGCAAAAGUACAGCUGGCACACAGCACAAUAAAUGACUAAUUUUCACUCAGCAAAGUUCCCUAAAUGCUGCUACAAGCCAGACUCUGUGGAGCCAUUUCUAGGAUCUCAAAAGAAAGAUUAAAACCAUCUCAAAUACACAGAAUUGACAGGAAAGUAAACUUUCCUGUGGAAGGGACACAAGAAGCCAGAUGGUGAGUGUUGCAUGAAGCCAAACAAAUCCAGUCUCUGAAUUCCUAAGGCGUAUAAACCUCUGCACAGAAAUUAAAUUUCUCUGAAAAAAAGUGAACUAUAUGCAAAUCCAUGCUGUCAUAAUUCUGUCAUGCAGAACAAAGAUCUUGUAAUUUCCCAAUGUUGUCCUUUCCUUACCCCCCUGAAAAUGUGUUCAAAAGCAUAAAAUAAGAAGCAUUUUCGCUGGAGUAAGCUGUAAGGAGAUGGAACAAUUACAGGUAGCAGAGGAGGAUCAAUCAGGAGUUAAAUGAACUCCUUUUGUUGUUUGCAGUAGCUCUGGAGCCACGCAAAGCAAAGCAUCAUCUUUUGUUGCUGCACUGUACUGUUUUCUGAUGAUGCAGCCAGCUCUU